CUGGUGGGCUCAGGGUGCACGAGGAUCCCUUUGGGCGUGCAACCAGAGGGCCUUGGAGGACUUUGCACUUGGAAUGGUGCCUUGCCUCUUGGGGACUGGGCAGGGAUCAGUGUCAAGAGCACCCGCCCUCUCUGGGGAGCUGAGCUGGGCUCCUGGGCUGCAGCCCUGCUCCUCUGAGCUGACAGGAGGACUGGGUAAAUGUGGCAGCCUCCUGUGGAGCUGGGGGCCUGAGUGCUGAGCUGCCCUGGCUGCAGCGCUCAGCCUCUCUGGGCCUGGACUCUGCAGGCCUUCCUCUGGCUGCAGGCAGGUUUGCUUGCUCAGAGCUGAGCCUCCCAGGCACGGUGGAGGUGGAGAAGGCCACGAAGCUGAAGGAGAGGACGAAGCAGCAGAUUCUGGAUCCAGAUGCCAGCAGCACCCAAAACCUGCCGGACACGAGCUGGGGACAUUACUCAGGCCAGCGAGGAGCCAUUAACCCGGACUGACUCUGCCCUGCGGGGAAACCAUCGUCCAGCAGCCUCUUCAGGCUGGAGCCUUGCAGCAGGAGAUGGGCUGGCUGUGGUGGGGCCACUGGGAGGUUGGGAGUGCCCAAGCGGGGAGCACUGGUGUAGUAGGUAGGCAAUCUGCCCUGGAACAUUGACUGGGAAGAAAGACGGGUGUUCCCUGAAGUGUACAGGCCGCCUGGGGCCCAGCACACCAGCUCCUGUGAACCCCUCACACCCCUUCCCGCCUCCCUGCUGCCCUCUAGGCCUCUCUUCCUCACAGCCCCUCCAUGGGGAGGAGGAGGGCCCUGUGGAUUGUCCCUGACCCUGACCAUGGCUGCUGUUCUUCUCCCACCUUGUCCUCACUCCUUAUCAUGGGCCUCAUGCUAACCAACCGUAGCGGCUGCCCUACUACCUGCUCCCCAGUGCUGGCCACAGGCAUCUUGUUUUCAUGUUUGACUUGCAUGAUCUCACCUCGUUUUUUGUGGUUGACCUUGUGAUCACUGUGCUUUCCCAAUCCACAGAGAAUGGGUUCCUGCCCAGAGGUGGGGAGGUUGCCUGAGGUCACAGGGCAGCAGGAGGAGAGCCAGAAUGGUUAACCCUUCGCCUCCUGCUCCCUCCUCGGCCCUCUCCUUCCCACCCACUCUGCAGAGUUCGGGCUCCUUGGUGUGAAUAGACCUACCCCCCAGGUCUGGGGUGGGUGGCCUCAGGGCUCCAUCCUAGUGACAGGAGGAGGGAGAAAACAGGACUAACAUCUGGAUAAGGGAGCUGCACACUGUGGGCUGGUCCCCGUGACACCGAGGAAGUUAUAAACCACACAUACACACACACACACACACACACACACACACACACACCCCUCCCUGACGGCCUGGGAACACUGGGAAACCAGAUGUCUGCCAUCUAGCAGGAGAAGCAGCCAGAGGAUCCCCAAAGGGAAGCGGAAAAGACUGGCGAGAGAGGCUUACCUGCAGGGGCUCCGGUGGCAGGGAGAGAAGGAGCUCAGGAAGAGACUAGUGCUCACUCCCAGCAGCAGGUUGCUCCCAUAUGAUGCUACAUGACAAGUGAAAAGGGCCGGCCCACGUAGGGACACAGGAGGGCAGGAGAGGGUCAUUGCCAGAACUGAAAAAUUCAGCGUCCAGAUGGGGUGGGUAAGGCGUUUCCACCAUCCUCAGAGGGAGGAAGGGAGACAGGCCAGGUCCUCGCACAUUUACUGGAGGACCCAAAGGCCUGGGUGUUAGGACCUGUGGGAGCUGAGAGGCUGGGUUCCCCCGGGGCCCAUACUCAGCCACACAGUGGUUCCCGUUCAAGCUGAGAAGGGCCUGGGGAGCUUGGAGAAUGAGCUGCUUUCCUCAGAGGCACAGAAAGAGAA